UCGGGAAUUUUGGGCAAUGGGCGAAAGCCUGACCCAGCAACGCCGCGUGAGGGAUGAAGUAUUUCGGUAUGUAAACCUCGAAAGAAUGGGAAGAAUAAAUGACGGUACCAUUUAUAAGCUCCGGCUAACUGCGUGCCAGCAGCCGCGGUAAUACGUAGGGAGCAAGCGUUGUUCGGAUUUACUGGGCGUAAAGGGCGCGUAGGCGGCGCGGUAAGUCACUUGUGAAAUCUCUGAGCUUAACUCAGAGCGGCCAAGUGAUACUGCUGUGCUAGAGUGCGGAAGAGGCAAACGGAAUUCUUGGUGUAGCGGUGAAAUGCGUAGAUAUCAAGAGGAACACCUGAGGCGAAGGCGGGUUGCUGGGCCGACACUGACGCUGAUGCGCGAAAGCCAGGGGAGCAAACG
rnacentral:rRNA from 1 species